CGCCGCAACAGCCGCCGCCGCCGCCGCCGCCGGGCCCCCCGCGCCGCCGCCGCCGCCGCCGCUCGCCGCCGGGUUGGCAGCGCCGCACUGGUUGUAGCGGAGACCCAAGCCUCUGCCGUCCCCAAGACACCCUGCUUUGUGCCCAGCGAUUCCUCAGAAUAAUUAGCUCGGAGUUACUGGCCGCCGCUGCUGACACCGGGCCUGGAGCACCACGUUACCAGGAGCAUCGUGGGUAUUACCCUGCACAUACCAGGGAGCCGCAGCUCUCCUUGGGGACAGGCUGAUCCACACCAGCCUGAUCCCUCAACCUGGUCAUGCCCCGCUGCCACAAAGAUUCUGCGAGAUCUGCUCGGCAGAAAGGCGCGCUGGCCACCGGGUCCCCACCGAUGGCCAUCUCCUUGCCAGCCAGCAUGAGGUGGAAAAUGGCGCAAGGGGGCAGGAGCAGUCUGAAAAGCGGAAGAUUAAUUAAGAGGCUGUGCCACUGCCUCGCUGUGAUCUCAGUAACUGAACCGUUAAAGUGAUUUAUUCUUCACGGGGUAAUUACAUUCCCCCUUUCUCUGUUAUCCGUCCCCUGAUCUGUGUUCAGCUCUUGGAGGUGCACGCACACGCAUUCAGGAGCAAACGUGUGGUCCUUGAUUUGACAUGUUCAGCAAGGAGAUGUCUUGUCUGCCCCUUCUGUUUUCUGUGCCUUUGCAUUACAGUUUCUGUAAUACACAAAGACGUGCUAUUUAUAUUGAUUCAAAGCUUCCAGACCCUUGUAUAGCUCAGGGAUCUCGCCGAUUAACCACUAUGGCCAGACGCUGCUGUGGCAAAUCACAGUGGUGUUGUUACACCACUAAUUUUGAUCGAGAGCUUCCGACCUGGUUUUGUGUCAUGUUAUCAAAUACCUUUUUAUGCUGCCUUACGUGCUGGCAGGUUUCUGCUGCAUUUUUUAAAGCUGUGUUACACUUCACGUGGCUGAGCUUGGGAAACUCCUGUAGCCACAGCUAUGCUGGGGUUCAAAGCUGGCCGUCCUAAUCAUCCCUUCUGGCAUCUGGUCUGUGCAUGCAGGAAUGAGCAGGAGUCUUUAGAGGAACUGUUCUUUUUCCUGUGAAAUCUUUCUUCUAUUACUAAUAACCAAACAUUAAAUACAGAUGUAUUCUUUUUUAAAAACA